CCUACGGGAGGCAGCAGUGAGGAAUAUUGGUCAAUGGACGAGAGUCUGAACCAGCCAAGUAGCGUGAAGGAUGACGGCCCUAUGGGUGGUAAACUUCAUUUAUAGGGGAAUAAAAUGUUACACGGGCGGGCUUUUGUUUGUACCAUAUCAAUAAGGAUCGGCUAACUCCGUGCCAGCAGCCGCGGUAAUACGGAGGAUCCGAGCGUUAUCCGGAUUUAGUGGGUGUAAAGGGAGCGUAGGUGGAUUGUUAAGUCAGAUGUGAAAGUUUGGGGCUCAACCGUCAAAUUGCAGUUGAAACUGGCUGUCUUGAGUACAGUAGAGGUGAGCGGAAUUCGUGGUGUAGCGGUGAAAUGCUUAGAUAUCACGAAGAACUCCGAUUGCGAAGGCAGCUCACUGGACUGCAACUGACACUGAGGCUCGAAAGUGUGGGUAUCAAACAGGAUUAGAUACCCCAGUAGUC
rnacentral:rRNA from 1 species